UACGGAGGGUGCAAGCGUUUGUUCGGAAUUACUGGGCGUAAAGGGCUCGUAGGUGGCCAACUAAGUCAGACGUGAAAUCCCUCAGCUUAACUGGGGAACUGCGUCUGAUACUGGAUGGCUUGAGUUUGGGAGAGGGAUGCGGAAUUCCAGGUGUAGCGGUGAAAUGCGUAGAUAUCUGGAGGAACACCGGUGGCGAAGGCGGCAUCCUGGACCAACACUGACACUGAUGAGCGAAAGCCAGGGGAGCAAACGGG
rnacentral:rRNA from 1 species